GGGCCGGGCUCCGGGUGGGAUAGGGUGGGGUGGAGGGCGGGGGCGCAGGGCCCGCGCCUACUCCUGCGGGCGGGAGACCCACGGCCUGGUUCGCACCCCGAUUCUCCGAGGGGGAGGGCAGGAACCCCACGACCCUCUAGCCCAAGGCCGCUUGGGGGCGCACCGGGCCCUGAGGGCACCUGGGGAGGCAGGGGCUCCCUCUCGGCGCCGAAGAGGCCGGGUUCGCUCCCUCCCCAGGAGGAGAGGUGGACGGACGAGCCCCCCGUCCUAGCUCAGAUGGGUUCCCUCGCCACCUUCCGGACAAAGUGUCAAGUACAAGUUCAAGUUCAGGGCCAGGCCCCGGGGAUGGGGGUUGGGGGGCGCCAAGCCUUCCCCUGCCGCCUUUGUCCUUCCAGGGAGAAUCGCUCCCAAGUCCCCUCCGGGCGGGGCCCAGCAGACGCCCCCGCCCCGCCCCGCCGAGCCCCGCAGGAGCCGCCUCCUCCCGUCCGCGCGGCGCCUGUCCCCUGGUCCCGGCGCCCCAGCUCGGGGCCACCGAAGGGCCUGGGGGCUCGGGGCGGGGGGGAGGCGCGAUCCGAGUCCGUGGGAGCCUCCCCAGCCCCGCAGUCCCAGCAGCAGACCGAGCUCGGUCGGACGGAUGCUCGCGCUUAGCCAAAACACGGUUAUGCUGUGGUCCUCCACGCCAGCAGGGCUGGUAGGCCAAUGAGCCACCCCUGCAGCCCUUGAAGUUGGAACUACCCUCUUAAGGUGGAGAGUUUGGGCACAGCUGGAUAAGAGAGCCAAGGUCACCCACUGGCUGGGGUCUCCUGAAGACAUCAAGAAGGGCUCUCUGAAGAGAGGUUGGAGGUCUCUGAGGACACCUGGAGGGAGCUCUCGUCACGAGUUUUCACGAGUUGAAAGGAAUUUGGGCACGUCUGGCCAUUUCCCAAGCUUAACCUCCAGACACUGUGGGGAUCGGCAUCCAUGUCGUAGCGCACGAACACGCCGAAGAGGGCUAUCAGGGCCACCUCCAGGAGCAGGCAGACGACCGGCAGCCGCCAGCGGAGAUUGGUGUUCCAGAUCAUGCUGCAGGGGGCGUCUGGCCGGG